UGGCUCAGGAUGAACGCUGGCGGUAUGCUUAACACAUGCAAGUCGAACGGUCCUUUCGGGGAUAGUGGCGGACGGGUGAGUAACGCGUGAGAAUCUGCCUUUAGGACGGGGACAACAGUUGGAAACGGCUGCUAAAACCCGAUGUGCCCUUCGGGGUGAAAUAUUUAUAGCCUGAAGAUGAGCUCGCGUCUGAUUAGCUAGUAGGUGAGGUAAAGGCUCACCUAGGCGACGAUCAGUAACUGGUCUGAGAGGAUGACCAGUCACACUGGGACUGAGACACGGCCCAGACUCCUACGGGAGGCAGCAGUGGGGAAUUUUCCGCAAUGGGCGCAAGCCUGACGGAGCAAUACCGCGUGAGGGAGGAAGGCUCUUGGGUCGUAAACCUCUUUUAUCAGGGAAGAACACAAUGACGGUACCUGAUGAAUCAGCAUCGGCUAACUCUGUGCCAGCAGCCGCGGUAAUACAGAGGAUGCAAGCGUUAUCCGGAAUUAUUGGGCGUAAAGCGUCCGCAGGUGGUUUUGAAAGUUUGCUGUCAAAGCGCGAGGCUCAACUUCGUAACGGCGGUGAAAACUUCAAGACUAGAGCUAGGUAGGGGUCACGGGAAUUCCCAGUGUAGCGGUGAAAUGCGUAGAUAUUGGGAAGAACACCAGCGGCGAAAGCGCGUGACUGGGCCUGAGCUGACACUCAUGGACGAAAGCUAGGGGAGCGAAAGGGAUUAGAUACCCCUGUAGUCCUAGCCGUAAACGA
rnacentral:rRNA from 1 species